UUUACAACGAACAAAGUCCCAUUUGUCGCUCUGGUUUGUCGCUCCACUGGCAGACUUAUCAUUACAACUAAUCAUGCUACCAUAUAGACGGGCUUUAAUUGCAGUGGCGAUCACAAAACGGUUUGCCGAUUUCUAUAAUCCCCCAGAAGACCGCUGCACACUUGAUAAAGUCAUCUUGAGCUGUACUAACUAACUGAUAAGCAAAUCGAACGACAGCCUUGAACUUGGAUUGCGCAAGUGGGCAUGACGUCAAUAUAGAGCUCAUUGGGGGAAGAGAGCUCUGAAAGGUUGCUGCAUGUCAUUGGGAAUUUUUUAUUUUUUUAGCCGAUAAAGUGCAAAUGCUAUGGGAAAUUAUGUAAAAUUUAAAUGGCUCAUUAAGCAAUGUCGAUGGCUUGCACAAAGCUAUAUAGCAAUAAUUAUAAAUUUACUUACUGGAAUGUAUAGCAACUGGUUUAGUUUAGA